rnacentral:ncRNA from 1 species
UUGGUUCUGGUUCACGGAUCGCAUCCCGCGAUACGACCCAGCGACC